rnacentral:rRNA from 1 species
UACGUAGGGGGCAAGCGUUGUCCGGAUUCAUUGGGCGUAAAGAGCGUGUAGGCGGCCAGGUAGGUCGGUUGUGAAAACUGGAGGCUCAACCUUCAGAGGUCGACCGAAACCAUCUGGCUAGAGUCCGGGAAGAGGAGAGUGGAAUUCCUGGUGUAGCGGUGAAAUGCGCAGAUAUCAGGAGGAACACCAAUAGCGAAGGCAGCUCGCUGGGACGUUACUGACACUGAGGCGCGAAAGCGUGGGGAGCGAACAGG